GGCCUACCUGGUGGUAACGGGUAACGGGGUGUUAGGGCACGACACCGGAGAGGGAGCCUGAGAAACGGCUACCACAUCCAAGGAUGGCAGCAGGCGCGCAAAUUACCCAAUCCCGACACGGGGAGGUAGUGACAAUAAAUAACAAUACGGGGUUCUUUCGGAUUUCGUAAUUGGAAUGAGUACAAUUUAAAUCUCUUAACGAGGAACAAUUGGAGGGCAAGUCUGGUGCCAGCAGCCGCGGUAAUUCCAGCUCCAAUAGCGUAUAUUAAAGUUGCUGCAGUUAAAAAGCUCGUAGUUGAAUUUCGGGACCAUCAUGUCGGUCGUGCCUCGGUACGUACUGGCAUUGUUGGUUUCUCCCUUCUGACGAACCAUGAUGUCAUUUAUUUGGUGUUGUGGGAAAUCAGGACUGUUACUUUGAAAAAAUUAGAGUGUUUAAAGCAGGCUCACGCUUGAAUACAUUAGCAUGGAAUAAUGAAAUAGGACGUUUGAUUCUAUUUUGUUGGUUUCUAGGAUCGACGUAAUGAUUAAUAGGGAUAGUUGGGGGCAUUAGUACUCAAUUGCCAGAGGUGAAAUUCUUGGAUUUAUUGAAGACUAACUACUGCGAAAGCAUUUGCCAAGGAUGUUUUCAUUAAUCAAGAACGAAAGUUAGGGGAUCGAAGACGAUCAGAUACCGUCGUAGUCUUAACCAUAAACUAUGCCGACUAGGGAUCGGAUGAUGUUAAUUUUUUAAUGACUCAUUCGGCGCCUUACG
rnacentral:rRNA from 1 species